CUAGUUUUGAGGAGUUGACUACUGCCCUCCGAAGGCAGAGGUCACAAGUUCGAAUCUUGUCGGGUGCGCCA
rnacentral:tRNA from 1 species